rnacentral:tRNA from 1 species
GUUCUUGUAGUUGAAUGACAACGAUGGUUUUUCAUAUCAUUGGUCGUGGUAGAAUUCCACGUGAGAAUA